rnacentral:rRNA from 1 species
CCCGUACACGAAAGCACACUUGCUGUGAACUCGAAGAGUAGGGCGGGACACGUGGUAUCCUGUCUGAAUAUGGGGGGACCAUCCUCCAAGGCUAAAUACUCCUGACUGACCGAUAGUGAACCAGUACCGUGAGGGAAAGGCGAAAAGAACCCCGGCGAGGGGAGUGAAAAAGAACCUGAAACCGUGUACGUACAAGCAGUGGGAGCCUCUUUUAUGGGGUGACUGCGUACCUUUUGUAUAAUGGGUCAGCGACUUAUAUUCUGUAGCAAGGUUAACCGUAUAGGGGAGCCGAAGGGAAACCGAGUCUUAACUGGGCGUUAAGUUGCAGGGUAUAGACCCGAAACCCGGUGAUCUAGCCAUGGGCAGGUUGAAGGUUGGGUAACACUAACUGGAGGACCGAACCGACUAAUGUUGAAAAAUUAGCGGAUGACUUGUGGCUGGGGGUGAAAGGCCAAUCAAACCGGGAGAUAGCUGGUUCUCCCCGAAAGCUAUUUAGGUAGCGCCUCGUGAACUCAUCUUCGGGGGUAGAGCACUGUUUCGGCUAGGGGGCCAUCCCGGCUUACCAACCCGAUGCAAACUACGAAUACCGAAGAAUGUUAUCACGGGAGACACACGGCGGGUGCUAACGUCCGUCGUGAAGAGGGAAACAACCCAGACCGCCAGCUAAGGUCCCAAAGUCAUGGUUAAGUGGGAAACGAUGUGGGAAGGCACAGACAGCCAGGAUGUUGGCUUAGAAGCAGCCAUCAUUUAAAGAAAGCGUAAUAGCUCACUGGUCGAGUCGGCCUGCGCGGAAGAUGUAACGGGGCUAAACCAUGCACCGAAGCUGCGGCAGCGACACUCAGGUGUUGUUGGGUAGGGGAGCGUUCUGUAAGCCGUUGAAGGUGACCUGUGAGGGUUGCUGGAGGUAUCAGAAGUGCGAAUGCUGACAUAAGUAACGAUAAUGCGGGUGAAAAGCCCGCACGCCGGAAGACCAAGGGUUCCUGUCCAACGUUAAUCGGGGCAGGGUGAGUCGACCCCUAAGGCGAGGCCGAAAGGCGUAGUCGAUGGGAAACAGGUUAAUAUUCCUGUACUUGGUGUUACUGCGAAGGGGGGACGGAGAAGGCUAUGUUAGCCGGGCGACGGUUGUCCCGGUUUAAGCAUGUAGGCGGAGAGUUUAGGUAAAUCCGGACUCUUUUUAACGCUGAGGUGUGAUGACGAGGCACUACGGUGCUGAAGUAACAAAUGCCCUGCUUCCAGGAAAAGCCUCUAAGCAUCAGGUAACAUCAAAUCGUACCCCAAACCGACACAGGUGGUCAGGUAGAGAAUACCAAGGCGCUUGAGAGAACUCGGGUGAAGGAACUAGGCAAAAUGGUGCCGUAACUUCGGGAGAAGGCACGCUGAUGUGUAGGUGAAGCCCCUGCGGGUGGAGCUGAAAUCAGUCGAAGAUACCAGCUGGCUGCAACUGUUUAUUAAAAACACAGCACUGUGCAAACACGAAAGUGGACGUAUACGGUGUGACGCCUGCCCGGUGCCGGAAGGUUAAUUGAUGGGGUUAGCGGCAACGCGAAGCUCUUGAUCGAAGCCCCGGUAAACGGCGGCCGUAACUAUAACGGUCCUAAGGUAGCGAAAUUCCUUGUCGGGUAAGUUCCGACCUGCACGAAUGGCGUAAUGAUGGCCAGGCUGUCUCCACCCGAGACUCAGUGAAAUUGAACUCGCUGUGAAGAUGCAGUGUACCCGCGGCAAGACGGAAAGACCCCGUGAACCUUUACUAUAGCUUGACACUGAACACUGGUCCUUGAUGUGUAGGAUAGGUGGGAGGCUUUGAAGCGUGGACGCCAGUCUGCGUGGAGCCGCCCUUGAAAUACCACCCUUUAAUGGCUGGUGUUCUAACGUAGACCCGUGAUCCGGGUUGCGGACAGUGUCUGGUGGGUAGUUUGACUGGGGCGGUCUCCUCCCAAAGAGUAACGGAGGAGCACGAAGGUUAGCUAAUCCUGGUCGGACAUCAGGAGGUUAGUGCAAUGGCAUAAGCUAGCUUGACUGCGAGAGUGACGGCUCGAGCAGGUGCGAAAGCAGGUCAUAGUGAUCCGGUGGUUCUGAAUGGAAGGGCCAUCGCUCAACGGAUAAAAGGUACUCCGGGGAUAACAGGCUGAUACCGCCCAAGAGUUCAUAUCGACGGCGGUGUUUGGCACCUCGAUGUCGGCUCAUCACAUCCUGGGGCUGAAGUAGGUCCCAAGGGUAUGGCUGUUCGCCAUUUAAAGUGGUACGCGAGCUGGGUUUAGAACGUCGUGAGACAGUUCGGUCCCUAUCUGCCGUGGGCGCUGGAGAAUUGAGGGGGGCUGCUCCUAGUACGAGAGGACCGGAGUGGACGCAUCACUGGUGUUCGGGUUGUCAUGCCAAUGGCAUUGCCCGGUAGCUAAAUGCGGAAGAGAUAAGUGCUGAAAGCAUCUAAGCACGAAACUUGCCCCGAGAUGAGUUCUCCCUGACCCUUUAAGGGUCCUGAAGGAACGUUGAAGACUACGACGUUGAUAGGUCGGGUGUGUAAGCGCAGCGAUGCGUUGAGCUAACCGAUACUAAUGAACCGUGAGGCUUAACCUUACAACGCCGAAG